rnacentral:tRNA from 1 species
UACGAAGUGGCGCAGUAGGUAGCGCGCAUGACCAGUGAUCAUGUUGUCGUAGGUUCGAAUCCUACCUUUGUAU